rnacentral:rRNA from 1 species
AGCAGCCGCGGUAAUUCCAGCUCCAAUAGUGUAUAUUAAAGUUGCUGCAGUUAAAAAGCUCGUAGUUGAAUUUCGGAACCAAUAUGUUGGUUGUGCCUCGGUACGUACUGGCAUUGUUGGUUUCUCCCUUCUGACGAACUAUGAUGUCAUUAAUUUGGUGUCAUGGGGAAUCAGGACUGUUACUUUGAAAAAUUAGAGUGUUUAAAACAGGCUCAGGCUUGAAUACAUUAGCAUGGAAUAAUGAAAUAGGACGUUUGAUUCUAUUUUGUUGGUUUCUAGGAUUGACGUAAUGAUUAAUAGGGAUAGUUGGGGGCAUUAGUAUUCAAUUGUCAGAGGUGAAAUUCUUGGAUUUAUUGAAGACUAACUACUGCGAAAGCAUUUGCCAAGGAUGUUUUCAUUAAUCAAGAACGAAAGUUAGGGGAUCGAAGACGAUCAGAUACCGUCGUAGUCUUAACCAUAAACUAUGCCGACUAGGGAUCGGACGAUGUUAAUUUUUAAUGUACUCG